GCAAACUUGGUCAUUUAGAGGAAGUAAAAGUCGUAACAAGGUCUCCGUUGGUGAACCAGCGGAGGGAUCAUUACCGAGUUAUUACACUCAAACCCGUCCGCGAACCCGAAACUGUUGCUUCGGCGGGAGGCUCCUCUCUCGAGCCGCCCGCCGAAGGUCCACAUUAUUAGGUUCUAAGAGUGGCUCAAUCGCCGCGCCUUGUCUCUGAAAUUAAACUUAAAAAAAGUCAAAACUUUCAACAACGGAUCUCUUGGUUCCGGCAUCGAUGAAGAACGCAGC
rnacentral:misc_RNA from 1 species